AAUUAGGGAAAAUAAAAGAGAGAACUUAAUAAAUUUAUGUAUUUUAUUAAAAACUAAAGUUUCAUAUUCAUAGGGAAGAAUUAGGGCUAUUAGAGAUACAACAAUUAAAAUGACUAAGGCUGCAAGGGUAUAAAAGUCAUUCAUAAAUCCUACUAUAUUUAUAGCAAACCCCCUUGAAUGACUAUUUACAUAAUUACUAUUUCAUUGAAACAACAUUUAGCAAAAAAAAAUCGAUGGGACAAAAAUGCCAACAAAAUGAAAAAAAAUACAAAUAAUUUGGAGUAAUAAAAUGCUGACUCGUUUAAAUAUUGUGAAGAAAAUUCAGUGAGACAAAACUUGAUUGAAGAAAAAAGAAUACAACUACUCCCCUGAUUUCAAUUCUUGUAUCCAGCAAUCCAUAUUUUAUAUGUCAAUGUCUUCAACAUUGAUAUCUUAUAAGCCAAUGUCUUCAAGAAAAUAUAGAUGGACAAAACUUGGUAACUGCAUUAAUAUGAUGAUUCAAAAAAAUCUCUUAUUGAUCUCUUCAAGAAUAUCACAUAUAUCGGAGUAUUAUUUUGAGGUUAAGUGUUUGUUAG
rnacentral:lncRNA from 1 species